AGUCUGACCAGCCAUGCCGCGUGCAGGAUGACGGUCCUAUGGAUUGUAAACUGCUUUUGCACAGGAAAAAACACUCCGACGUGUCGGAGCUUGACGGUACUGUGAGAAUAAGGAUCGGCUAACUCCGUGCCAGCAGCCGCGGUAAUACGGAGGAUCCGAGCGUUAUCCGGAAUCAUUGGGUUUAAAGGGUCCGUAGGCAGUCUUGUAAGUCAGUGGUGAAAGCCCAUCGCUCAACGGUGGAACGGCCAUUGAAACUGCGUGACUUGAAUUAUUGGGAAGUAACUAAAAUAUGUAGUGUAUCGGAGAAAUGCUUAUAGAUUACAUGGAAUACCAAUUGCGAACGCAGGUUACUACCAAUUUAUUGACGCUGAUGGACGAAAGCGUGGGUAGCGAACACGAUUACAUACCCUGGUAAUCCACGCCGUAGACGAUGGAAACUAUCUGUUGGGAGCAAUCUCAAUGGCUAAUCCAAAGUGAUAAGUAUCCCACCUGGAGAGUACCAACGCAGGUUUGAAACUCACACGAAUUGACGGGGGCCCGCACAAGCGGUGGAGCAUGUGGUUUAAUUCGAUGAUACGCGAGGAACCUUACCAACGCUUAUAUGCAAACUGACCGAUUUGGAAACAGAUCUAUCGCA
rnacentral:rRNA from 1 species